rnacentral:SRP_RNA from 1 species
GGGGGUUGGCGGCGGACGUGCCGCUCGCCAACCGGGUCAGGUCCGGAAGGAAGCAGCCCUAACGAGAUUGGCCCGGGUUGCCCGUCCAGCCUCCCGC